UGCCUAGGCUGAGACUGCAGUGGUGCAAUCUCAGUUCACUGCAGCCUUGACCUCCUGGGCU
rfam:Pan troglodytes isolate Yerkes chimp pedigree #C0471 (Clint) chromosome 3, whole genome shotgun sequence.